GCGUUGGUCGUUUAAUGGUAGAUUGCUCUCCAACCAAUCAAGUGGUUUGGGAUCGAAUCCCAGCCAACGCA
rnacentral:tRNA from 1 species